rnacentral:rRNA from 1 species
CCUACGGGUGGCAGCAGUGGGGGAUAUUGCACAAUGGGGGAAACCCUGAUGCAGCGACGCCGCGUGUGGGAAGACGGUCCUCUGGAUUGUAAACCACUGUCCCCAGGGACGAAGAUGACGGUACCUGGGGAGGAAGCUCCUGCUAACUACGUGCCAGCAGCCGCGGUAAUACGUAGGGAGCGAGCGUUGUCCGGAAUUACUGGGUGUAAAGGGAGCGUAGGCGGGACUGCAAGUGGGGUGUCAAAUCUACCGGCUCAACCGGUAGCCGAACUCCAAACUGCAGUUCUUGAGUGAAUUAGAGGCAGGCGGAAUUCCUAGUGUAGCGGUGAAAUGCGUAGAUAUCGAGAGGAACACUCGUGGCGAAGGCGGGUUCACUGAACUGCAACUGACACUGAGGCUCGAAAGUGUGGGUAUCAAACAGGAUUAGAUACCCCAGUAGUC